UAAUUUUUUUGGCACGAGUUGUAGAGUGUAGGCGGGAGUCUUUGUGGAGCACGGUGUCCAAGUCCCUUGGAACAGGGCGCCUGAGAGGGUGAGAGCCCCGUGGGGUGCCGUGCGAAGCUUUGAGGCCCUGCUGACGAGUCGAGUUGUUUGGGAAUGCAGCUCCAAGUGGGUGGUAAAUUCCAUCUAAGGCUAAAUACUGGCGAGAGACCGAUAGCGAACAAGUACUGUGAAGGAAAGAUGAAAAGCACUUUGAAAAGAGAGUGAAACAGCACGUGAAAUUGUUGAAAGGGAAGGGUAUUGGGCCCGACAUGGGGAGUGCGCACCGCUGUCUCUUGUAGGCGGCGCUCUGGGCGCUCUCUGGGCCAGCAUCGGUUCUUGCUGCGGGAGAAUGGGUGCCGGAAAGUGGCUCUUCGGAGUGUUAUAGCCGGCGCCAGAUACCGCGUGCGGGGACCGAGGACUGCGG
rnacentral:rRNA from 1 species